UCCUACGGGAGGCAGCAGCAGGGAAUCUUGCGCAAUGGGCGAAAGCCUGACGCAGCAACGCCGCGUGGGGGAUGAAGGCCUUCGGGUUGUAAACCCCUUUCAGGAGGGAAGAAAUAGACGGUACCUCCAGAAGAAGGACCGGCCAACUACGUGCCAGCAGCCGCGGUAAUACGUAGGGUCCUAGCGUUAUCCGGAAUCAUU
rnacentral:rRNA from 1 species